rnacentral:rRNA from 1 species
UGGGGAAUAUUGCACAAUGGGCGAAAGCCUGAUGCAGCGACGCCGCGUGAGGGAUGACGGCCUUCGGGUUGUAAACCUCUUUCAGCAGGGAAGAAGCGAAAGUGACGGUACCUGCAGAAGAAGCGCCGGCUAACUACGUGCCAGCAGCCGCGGUAAUACGUAGGGCGCAAGCGUUGUCCGGAAUUAUUGGGCGUAAAGAGCUCGUAGGCGGCUUGUCACGUCGGGUGUGAAAGCCCGGGGCUUAACCCCGGGUCUGCAUUCGAUACGGGCUAGCUAGAGUGUGGUAGGGGAGAUCGGAAUUCCUGGUGUAGCGGUGAAAUGCGCAGAUAUCAGGAGGAACACCGGUGGCGAAGGCGGAUCUCUGGGCCAUUACUGACGCUGAGGAGCGAAAGCGUGGGGAGCGAACAGGAUUAGAUACCCUGGUAGUCCACGCCGUAAACGGUGGGAAC